UGGCGAACGGGUGAGUAACACGUGGGCAACCUGCCCAAAAGAGGGGGAUAACACUUGGAAACAGGUGCUAAUACCGCAUAACCAUAGUUACCGCAUGGUAACUAUGUAAAAGGUGGCUAUGCUACCGCUUUUGGAUGGGCCCGCGACGCAUUAGCUAGUUGGUGGGGUAAAGGCUUACCAAGGCAAUGAUGCGUAGCCGAACUGAGAGGUUGAUCGGCCACAUUGGGACUGAGACACGGCCCAAACUCCUACGGAAGGCAGCAG
rnacentral:rRNA from 1 species